rnacentral:rRNA from 1 species
AAGGUAGGAGUAAUCCUUGAACCGCAGGGUUCAAGGAUGAAAGACGGUUUCGGCUGUCACUUACAGAUGGACCCGCGGCGCAUUAGCUAGUUGGUGAGGUAACGGCUCACCAAGGCGACGAUGCGUAGCCGACCUGAGAGGGUGAUCGGCCACACUGGGACUGAGACACGGCCCAGACUCCUACGGGAGGCAGCAGUAGGGAAUCUUCCGCAAUGGACGAAAGUCUGACGGAGCAACGCCGCGUGAGUGAUGAAGGUUUUCGGAUCGUAAAGCUCUGUUGUUAGGGAAGAACAAGUGCAAGAGUAACUGCUUGCACCUUGACGGUACCUAACCAGAAAGCCACGGCUAACUACGUGCCAGCAGCCGCGGUAAUACGUAGGUGGCAAGCGUUGUCCGGAAUUAUUGGGCGUAAAGGGCUCGCAGGCGGUUUCUUAAGUCUGAUGUGAAAGCCCCCGGCUCAACCGGGGAGGGUCAUUGGAAACUGGGAAACUUGAGUGCAGAAGAGGAGAGUGGAAUUCCACGUGUAGCGGUGAAAUGCGUAGAGAUGUGGAGGAACACCAGUGGCGAAGGCGACUCUCUGGUCUGUAACUGACGCUGAGGAGCGAAAGCGUGGGGAGCGAACAGGAUUAGAUACCCUGGUAGUCCACGCCGUAAACGAUGAGUGCUAAGUGUUAGGGGGUUUCCGCCCCUUAGUGCUGCAGCUAACGCAUUAAGCACUCCCGC